rnacentral:rRNA from 1 species
GUCCAAGCUACUAAGGGCACACGGUGGAUGCCUUGGCGCCAAGGGCCGAUGAAGGACGCUGUUGGCGGCGAAAGGGUCGGGGAGGUGCUAAGCAACCUUCGAUCCGACCGUCUCCGAAUGGGGCAACCCCGCGCGGGUCAUGCCGCGCGAUCCCGGGCUGAAUCCAUAGGCACGGGAGGGCAAGCCGGGGAACUGAAACAUCUCAGUACCCGGAGGAGGAGAAAUCAACCGAGAUUCCCCGAGUAGUGGCGAGCGAAAGGGGAAGAGCCCAAACCCCGGGUGCGUGAUAGCUUGCGGGCGUUGCACUCGGGGGGUUGUAGGGCGCCGUCGGGCCGGACCGCAAUCCGGCCGGGAAGUUACCAAUCGUCGGGUUAGCCGAACGGUCCUGGAACGGUCGGCCACAGCGGGUGAGAGCCCCGUAGGCGAAAGCCCGACGACUUCCUCGGCGGUGUCCCUGAGUACCACGGGACACGUGGAACCCCGUGGGAACCCGGGAGGACCACCUUCCAAGGCUAAAUACCCUUGGCGACCGAUAGCGCACGAGUACCGUGAGGGAAAGGUGAAAAGAACCCCGGGAGGGGAGUGAAAUAGAACCUGAAACCGUGUGCCUACAAGCAGUCGGAGGGCUAUGCUGGGUCUCCGGACCCGGAACGCCUGACGGCAUGCCUAUUGAAGAAUGAGCCGGCGAGUUGCGGCAUGUGGCGAGCUUAAGGGAGCGAAUCCUGGAGGCGCAGGGAAACCGAGUCUGAAGAGGGCGCCGUCCCCGGAUGGGGAGCCCGCGCAAGCGGGCAGUCGCAUGUUGCAGACCCGAAACCGGGUGAUCUACCCAUGACCAGGGUGAAGCGCGGCUAAUCCCGCGUGGAGGCCCGAACCCGCUGGUGUUGAAAAACCAUGGGAUGAGUUGUGGGUAGGGGUGAAAUGCCAAUCGAACCCGGAGAUAGCUGGUUCUCCCCGAAAUGCAUUGAGGUGCAGCCCUGAUCGCAGCGAUACGGUGGUAGAGCACUGGAUGGGCUAGGGCGGGAGGACCCGUGCCGAACCCAACCAAACUCCGAAUGCCGUGUCGUGGUCGUCAGGAGUGAGACGGCGGGGGAUAAGCUUCGUCGUCAAAAGGGAAACAACCCAGACCGCCAGCUAAGGUCCCCGAGUGAUGGCUAAGUGGGAAAGGAAGUGGCAUCGCUAAGACAGCCAGGAGGUUGGCUCAGAAGCAGCCAUCCUUCAAAGAGUGCGUAAUAGCUCACUGGUCGAGUGGUGCUGCGCCGAAAAUCCAACGGGGCUCAAGCCAUCCACCGAAGCUGCGGAUCUCGCGCAUGGUGCCGCCCAGCGCGGGGUGGUAGGGGAGCGUUCCGCGACAGGUUGAAGGCAGACCGCAAGGACUGCUGGACGAGGCGGAAGUGCGAAUGCCGGCAUGAGUAGCGAAAAGGCAGGUGAGAAUCCUGCCCGCCGUAAGGCCAAGGGUUCUUACGGAAGGUUCGUCCGCGUAAGGUUAGGCGGGACCUAAGGCGAGGCCGACAGGCGUAGCCGAUGGACAGCCGGUUGAUAUUCCGGCCCCGCCGCGCGUCCGUCACGAGCCAGGGGGGGACGCAGAAGGGUAGGCCUACCGGGUGAUGGUCGUCCCGGGCCAAGCGUGUAGGCGGAGGCGCCAGGCAAAUCCGGUGCCUCAUUCAACGCCGAGGCGCGAGCGCGAGUUCAAGGGCAACCGCGAGCGAAGUGGCCGAGCCCACGCUGCCAAGAAAAGCCUCAGGGCCAGGGCGUGCGGCGCCCGUACCGGAAACCGACACAGGUGGCCGGGCACGUAGAGUGCUCAGGCGCGCGAGAGAACCCUCGUCAAGGAACUCGGCAAGUUGACCCCGUAACCUCGGGAGAAGGGGUGCCUCGAAGGGUGACCGGCUCGCGCCGGGAGCCCGACGGGGCCGCAGUGAAUCGGCUCAGCCGACUGUUUAACAAAAACACAGGUCUCUGCUAAGCCGCAAGGCGACGUAUAGGGGCUGACGCCUGCCCAGUGCCGGAAGGUUAAGGGGAAGGGUUAGUGCGGGUUCGCCCGUGCAAAGCCCAGAACCGAAGCCCCGGUGAACGGCGGCCGUAACUAUGAGACCGGACCGUUGUAGUUACGAUACCAAAAUCCGGCCAUAUGCUGGGAACCCUGAGCAUCCGUACCGUACUCCUCGGCCGCUCGGUCGAGAGUGACAAGCGGGCGGUGCAGGCAAUCAGCAGGAAAGGCGACCGCGCCCGUGGUCGCUUCCUCAGAGGCCAUACGCCGGACACGAGGGCCGCCUGGCUCGUCGUGAAGAGAUGGUCCGACCUGCGUGGCGACAUGCAGAGUGGGUAACCAACCCCACCGCCCAAGACGGGUCGCAACAGCACGAACGGUCCUAAGGUAGACUCGCUGCCUUCCGUGCUGGCAACAGCACGGCAAACAUCCGGCUAUAUGCUGGGAAGUCUGGGGAUCCCACGCUACCCGAAACGUCGUCGGUCAUGGCCGAUAGACCGAGUAGGGUGACAACGUGAUGGGUGCAGACGAUCAGCAGGAAAGGCGGACGGCGCGAGCUUCGCCGGACGGACGUGAACUCCCGGAUGCCUAUGCACGCGCCGGUGCGUUGGGCGCGUACCUCGCCGGGUUUGCUGAUGGUGAAGGGAGCUUUAACGUCUCGUUUCGGCCUCGUAGCGACUACCGAACUCCGUGGAAGGUCUCGUUGUGCUUCAACAUCUCGCAACGCGACGACACUGUGCUCAGGGUGUUUCAUCGGGUCUUGGGAUGCGGAACCCUGAGGCAACGACGGGACGGCGUCUGGUACUUCGAGGUCAACGAUCUCGAGGACAUUCAGGCCCACGUCAUCCCGUUCUUCGAGAAGUAUCAGUUCGUCUCGGUGAAGAAGCGGCGAGACUUUGCGAAGUUUAGGCGGAUAGCGGCCAUCGUCGGCCGUCGAUCGCGACAGGGUCGUGACCGAAUCGAGAAGAUCCUGGAGAUCCGACGGGACAUGAACGACGGUGGGAAGCGGCGCUACGGGGAGGAGGAAAUCCUCCGGAAGUGUGCCGACCGAAUCCUCAGAGACCAUACGCCGGAGGUCCGAGAGAUCGGAUCAAGAUAUGGUCCCGACUGCAUGGCGACUUGCAGGGGUGAUGGCCGACGGUCACCCGCUCAACCGAAUCGGGUUGGGCAAGACGGUCAAGCGAAAUUCCUUGUCGGGUAAGUUCCGACCUGCACGAAUGGCGUAACGAGCUGAGCGCUGUCUCGACGAGGGACUCGGCGAAGUUGUGAGACCAGUGAAGACACUGGUUACCCGCAGCUGGACGGAAAGACCCCGUGGAGCUUUACUGCAACUUGCCAUUGGACUUGGUUUUACCAUGUAGAGGAUAGGUGGGAGGCGUUGAAGCGGGGGCGCCAGCCUCCGUGGAGCCGACCUUGGAAUACCACCCUUGGCAAAAUUAAGUCCUAACCGGCAUCCUCAGCGGGUGUUGAGACAGUGGCAGGUGGGCAGUUUGACUGGGGCGGUCGCCUCCCAAACGGUAACGGAGGCGCCCAAAGGUCCCCUCAGCACGGAUGGAAACCGUGCGUUGAGUGCAAGGGCAUAAGGGGGCUUGACUGUGAGGCCUACAAGCCGAGCAGAGGCGAAAGCCGGGCCUAGUGAUCCUACGCCGGCAAGUGGAAGCGGCGUGGCUUAACGGAUAAAAGCUACCCCGGGGAUAACAGGCUUAUCUCCCCCAAGAGUCCACAUCGACGGGGAGGUUUGGCACCUCGAUGUCGGCUCAUCGCAUCCUGGGGCUGUAGUCGGUCCCAAGGGUUGGGCUGUUCGCCCAUUAAAGCGGUACGUGAGCUGGGUUCAGAACGUCGUGAGACAGUAAGUGACCGCUGCUGUCUAUAAAUCUGGCUAUAUGCUGGAAAGCCUGGGGUAUCCCAUGCUACCCUCCCAAAACCCCUCGGUGCGAUGCCGAAGGAGUGAGGGGGGGUCACAACGCGAUGGGUGCAGGCAAUCAGCAGGGAAGGCCAGACGAGCAGAUCGGCCACUACAGUGCGGGUUUUGUCGACGGAGAAGGUAGUUUCCACGUGGCGGUCCAGCGUAAUCCCACCACGCGGUUGAAGUGGCAGGUGGUUCCGGAGUUCCACGUUUCCCAGAACGAUGGGAAUCAGCAUGUGCUGGCGCUGAUUCGAGAUAUGCUGGGAUGUGGAUACAUCAAGCCGAACCACCAGCGCAGUAUUCGCGACAGAACCUACGUGCUGGUGGUAAGAAAUCACGCCGACCUUGCAGGGAAGGUGAUACCGUUCUUUAGGCGGUAUCCCCUGCGCACGACCAAGCGCGCCGACUUUGAUCGGUUCGCAGAAGUCGUCGCGAUGGUCGAUGAAGGCAGGCACCUCGCUCGAACCGGGUUGAGGGAGGUCCUGGCGCUCGCCUUCUCGAUGAAUCAAGCCGGCGUGAGGCGGCGCAAGCCGCUCGACGCGAUCCUUGCUCAUCUGGAACCCUCAGAGACUAUACGCCAGACGCUCAAUAUCGGGCGAAGAUAUAGUCCGAGCUUCCGGGCGACCGGAAGAGGCAGGCAGAAAUGCCCUGCCCCCUCCAGAUCCUGGAGGAGUAACAAUACUGUCGGUCCCUAUCCACUGUGGGCGCAGGUGACUUGAGGGGAGCUGCUCCUAGUACGAGAGGACCGGAGUGGACGGACCUCUGGUGUACCGGUUGUCCUGCCAAGGGCACGCGCCGGGUAUCUAUGUCCGGACGGGAUAAGCGCUGAAAGCAUCUAAGCGCGAAGCCCACCCCAAGAUGAGGUCACCCACCGGGUGAACCGGGUAAGUCCCCUGGGAGACGACCAGGUUGAUAGGCCGCGGGUGCAAGGCCGCAAGGCUCAGCCUAGCGGUACUAAUAGGACGAGGGCUUGCCUGC